CCUACGGGAGGCAGCAGUAAGGAAUAUUGGACAAUGGACGCAAGUCUGAUCCAGCCAUGCCGCGUGAAGGAUUAAGGCCCUCUGGGUUGUAAACUUCUUUUAUAGGGGACGAAAAAAGGGCUUUCUAGCUCGACUGACGGUACCCUAUGAAUAAGCACCGGCUAACUCCGUGCCAGCAGCCGCGGUAAUACGGAGGGUGCAAGCGUUAUCCGGAUUCACUGGGUUUAAAGGGUGCGUAGGCGGGCAUUUAAGUCAGUGGUGAAAUCUUCGAGCUCAACUCGGAAACUGCCAUUGAUACUAUUUGUCUUGAAUAUUGUGGAGGUGAGCGGAAUAUGUCAUGUAGCGGUGAAAUGCUUAGAUAUGACAUAGAACACCGAUUGCGAAGGCAGCUCGCUACACAAAUAUUGACGCUGAGGCACGAAAGCGUGGGGAUCAAACAGGAUUAGAUACCCUGGUAGUCCACGCCCUAAACUAUGGAUACUCGACAUUUGCGAUACACAGUAAGUGUCUGAGNGAAGANAUAUAUCCACCNGAGACGACGCGAGUAGACGUACAANAGAGUAGACGGACGUGAGAGNGCCGACGGACGACGACGAGGGAGGAGG
rnacentral:rRNA from 1 species